ACACCCAGGUGUGUUUCAUCCUCUCCAACACCUGGCCUGGCAUCUGGUGUGUAAGCCACUGACCCAUCUUCUCAGAAAUGCUUCCUCCUCUUGCCUUCAGUAAUGUCUAACUUGUCCGUCUCCACCCUCAAAGCUGUCUCUUUCGAUGAAGUUAGCUAGAUAUGAUGCCCCCCCCCCCCAUCCCUAGAGAAUACAGUGUACCCCGGGAAAGCGGAAAGCCUUUGAAGAAGAAAAUUCAGGAAAAAACUGAUGCAUGGUGAUAAAAUGCUGGUGAAAUGAGCCCAUCCAAGCCAGAGUGGAUUAUACCAAAGUAGCUUGGAGCCGAGAUGAGAACAGGAGACAGAAGUUUGGAGCAGGCAUCCCAGAGGCGGUCCAGCUCUUAUCCUUGGCCACGGAGAGUUGCCAAAGGGAGAUACUGGUUUCUGCUUUAAAUCCACCUGAAAGCUAUUCAUGAAGAUGUGACCAAACUAUCCCUUUAAUCAACAGCUUUAGAAAGGAUCCCAGGGCUUUCAUGAUGCAAAUGGGUUACUUCUAUUAUAAUCUUCGUAGGGAUACAAUUAGUCUUUGGGCCUGUGUACUCAACUGCUGUCUUAACUUUGACUCCCCUCAUUUACAGUUGAUCUGUGUUCACUCAUCUAUAGUUGAAUGUCUUAUAGCUAGGUCCCCUUAUGCUCCAAGGUCUGAAAGUCAUGCAAGUCCCUCAACAACUGGAGCAGGGGCUGUCCCUGAAGCUGUUGCCUGCCUAUGGAUCUCAUUCCCCUAACUAGGAGACCCUUGUCCGGCCUCAGUGGGAGAGGAUGUGCCUAGUCCUGCAGUGA